AUCGUUUUCAUUGUUUCAAACAAAGAUCAUUUUGUGAGGGAGGCUUCUUGUCUUUAUAUAAAGGAUUCAAAGCAUCAGAAGCUGGUAAAUUCUAACUGAUCAGCUGGUGGGCAUUCUGCUUUAUCCUACUUGAACUUAGUUAUAUGGCAAUGAGGGGGUAGAAUAGUACCAAAAUUGAAAUUAUUGGCCCAGGGAACAGGGAGAGUUGUCAGGAGUGUAUAAAAUUGAUGUGCAGCUGUUAGUUAGCUGAAGAGCUGGAAAUUGGAGUUCUAAAGUUAAGACACCAAGGGCCAGAUUUAGCCAAACAGUUGUGUUAGCAAGACCCAGCUCAAACAUCAUCAUCAUCAUAAUUUAUUAUUUGUACCCCGGCCAUCUGGCUGGGUUUCCCCAGACACUCUGGGCAGCUUCCAACAAAGACCAAAAAUACACUAAAAUGUCACACAUUAAAAACUUCCCUGAACAGGGCUGCCUUCAGAUGUCUUCUGAAUGUCAGGUAGUUGUUUAUCUCUUUGACAUCUGAUGGGAGUCAUAGAAUAAUAGAAUUGUAGAGUUGUAAGGGACCCCAAGGAUCAUCUAGUUCAACCCUCUGCAAUGCAGGAUUCUCAUCCAAUUUGAAACAAUACCGGAUCCUGCUUUGCCUUGCAAAUGUGCUUUAUUGCUGCAUCACAAGGAGGAUCUUCUUACUGUUAUAGCGGAGCUUUGCUCCCUCUCCACCUGUGCGCACACAUACACCCCACCACAACCCCCUGAAAUCCCCCGGAAUAGCACAGGGAUGAGGAGAUUGCUCCUUCUGGUAAGCAGGAAUGCUUGCACUGAUAGAACAAUCAGAAUUGUAAAUUAAGAUGUGAAUUAAAUGUGAAUUAAGAAGUGGCUCAAAGAGGCUUGAGGAGCCAAGAGCUAGGCUCCUUGGGCUAGGACUGAAGAUGUUUGUGGGGAAGAGAUUACAAUUCUAGAUGCAGCCUUCAGGUGAAUUCCCCCAAGUGGCAGAAGGGUUGCUGAGAACCUGAGGCAACAGUGGGGACUACUGGACCGGGGACAAGACUGCAGCAGAAGUCCGGAGAGGGACUCUGGAUGGCAGUGGCUGUGAAGCUGAUUGAAAUCAGUUCCUAGUUGAGAGCUAUUAACUGGGAGUACUAUAGCAGGCACAUCCAACAGGUAGAUCAUGAUCUACUGGUAGAUCACUGAAUGUCUAUGGUAGAUCACUAGCACCCCCCAAAAAAACUCAACACUUUCUGCCCUGUACCCCCCCAAAAUGGGGCUUUCCUCCUCCCUAAAAAAAGCCCAACAACUUUUACCUGAACCCCCCAAAAGGGGGUCGAUCACUGCCAGUUUUUAACUGUGAGUAGAUCGCCGUCUCUUGGGAGUUGACUAACCCUGUACUAUAGGAACAACAUAUGUUUGAGGUUUUAUGGUGCUUUUAAUAUUUUGUUGGGAGCUGCUCAGGGUGGCUGAGGCAACUCAGUCAGAUGGGUGGCAUAUACCGUAUUUUUCACUCUAUAACACGCACCCGACCAUAACACGCACAUAGUUUUUAGAGGAGGAAAAUCCGUAGGCAUGCCACCCGUAGGCAUUCCCUCCAUAACACGCACAGACAUUUCCCCUUACUUUCUAGGAGGAAAAAAGUGAGUGUUAUGGUGCAAAAAAUAUGGUAAAUAAAAUUACCAUCAUCGUUAUGGUUUGGAUAGAGAGAGGAACUGAAGCUCACAUAACUACCCUCUUAAAGUGUCAGGGACCAUAUUUUGUGUUUGAUACGCCUUUUAAAAUGGCAGUAAUCUAAUAGUGUGCAUUCUCGUUUAAAGUAACUAUAACAAAGUAAAGCUAACCACCUGUUUUAUUAAGUAACCAUACAUACCUAUCUUUUUAUAUUAAAUAUAUUGCACUUCAUUUUUACUUUAUAUUUGAACCUCUGUACUGCUUGCCCUAUUUCUAACCAUAGCUUCUGUGGAUAAAAUGUGGAAGAAGAUAAAACGGUUCUGAGAUACAUGGUGGCAACACUCGCAGAGGGUUAAGAAAAAUAAGCAAUAGGUCAUAGCAGGGAAAACUACCUCAUUAUCAUUGAGGGGAUCCCCACACCCCUUAAGACCCAAAGCACAAUGCAAGGUGAGUUACGAUCUUGCCCUUUCCCCUAAGAACUGCUUCAUCCUCUCAAGUUGUGCUGGGGUUUGGGGGCAAUUAGGAGCAUCUGCUUCUAGUUGUCUUCACAGCUGAAGCCAAAUUGACAGAACAACCUUGUAAUUUUCCACAAGUCCUCUGGAUGUUGGGAGAAAGGAUGGGAUCAUUCACUCACUUUGCGCCAUGUUUUGGAGCCACUUCAAAGCAGCAAUUAUGCUUCCUAUUCUGAGCCUGUCUGAACCCUCCUUUUUCUCCGAGUCUUCCAUAUAUGCCAGUGGACUUAUGGAAAGGUUGGUGUCUGUCACUCCUCUCCAGCAUGAAAUUAAAGACUCCUUCCCCUCCCAAGUUUUCACAAUGUGUCAAGAUCAUGUUCCUGAAGCCCUGGUGUAAUUCACAGGUACAUUUGAGUAUAUUUCUUCAGCUUGCAGUCUUGGUUACAGGAGUGUCUAGAGUACACCUUUAAUUAAUCUAUUUAUGAAUUUGAUGUUUUGUUAUUUACUGGGACGUGGGGUGGGGUGGGGAAUCAAGCACUGUGCAAAGCAGAUGGUUUUGGCUUAAAUGUUAAGGCUGAAUAAUUGUUCCUCUGUGUAUAUAUUAUUAUUAAUAUUAUUUUGUAUUGCUUAGAAAUCUACCAAGUCCCAUUUCAUUUUCAUUCCUUUGAAAACCUCCCCAGGUGUAAACAAAUAUUUUUGUUUUGCUUUACAAGAAAAUAGCCCUGGUACAUGUUACUCUAAUAUAACAGAACACUAUUUAAGAGGAAUUCUAGAAUAAAUCUAUAACAAAGAAAACAACUUUCUUCCACCUCAGACUCAUGGUAAUUUAUGUAUAACCAAUCUUGGUUAUUAUCUUCAUUUCUUCUUUGAAUCCAAUUGUCUUCUUUCUUUAGUUUUCUCUCCUUCGUUGUUUUCCUGAUGCUAACUUUACAUUGUGUCCUUGACCUUGCAUUAAUUGUAUUUUAACUUACCUAUAAUAUUUUAUUUCUCUGUUGUGUUUGUUUGUUUGUUUAUAAAACUUAAUAAAUACAAUUAAAAAUAAGAGAAAAUAAAAUAAAUCUCUGUUUGGGUCAGUUUGCAUAUUGCUGUUGGUUCAGAUUUUUUGGUUGGUUCAGUUUUUUUUAUAAAGGACAAUACAUUCAAAAAUAUUAUUCUGUAUGCUCCAAAGGCAAGACUUCCUAAACAUUUCUUUAUUCAGAUCACCUCUUCUCCCUAAUCUAUUGUAUGCAUUGCCUACCUACUCAAAACAGUUGACCUAGAUAUUCUGCAACCAAAUACAUGUAAUAUGUGAAGGGUUACAUGUCCUUUCCAUCCACUGCUUCAAGAAAUAAAAAAGGGUUAUUGGGCCACAUUGCAUGCUUUUUCAUAUAGUUUGGUGCUCUUAAUCUUUAUUUCCUGAGUUGUCACCCCAGCUCCACAUAUUUUCAGUCACAUAUUUGUAAUUCUGUACCAUGUUGCAUCCAACUUAACAGUGUGGAGCCCAGCUGCACUUAAAUAACAUUUGGGGAGCAUUCAUCUUAUAACCAGGGUAAAGCAGAGCAGUCGAAACUUUUACGGAAAGCCAGCAGAUUUGUGGAUGUUAUUCUUGGGUCAGUCUGCUAGGUAAUGCUAGCCUGCCAUUUUGGGAAGCAGUUAAGCUACAACAAAAAAGGAAGCAGUUUCCCUUCUUAGGCCUGUAUUAUUAUUCUGCUCAGCAGCAAAUAUGUCCGGAAGGUGAGCCAGUCUGGUGCAGCAACUAGCGUUCUGGGCUUGAAUCUAGGAAACACAGCUUCACAUACAGUACCUUCUUGCCUUUGGUCUGGCUCUACCCAAGACACUAUUGCUCAAAUUGAUCAACUUCAUAAGGUUGGUUGUGGGAUGAAAUGUAACUCAAAGGCAGGCAACAGUGGUCCAGUAAUUGGGAAAUGUUAAUAUAAUGUGUGUAUAGAUCUUCAGUAUAGCUCCUUGCCCCAGUGCCGUGGUUUAGAGCAGAGGUAGCCCUCCAUAUGUCAUUAUUAGACUCUAGUUCCUAUCAACCCUGCCCAGAAAGGCCAAUGGUCAGGGACGAUAUCAGCUGUAAUGCAACAAUAUAUGGAGGGCAGUAUGCUGGCUGCUAGGGACGCGGGUGGUGCUGUGGGUUAAACCACAGAGCCUAGGACUUGCUGAUCAGAAGGUCGUCGGUUCGAAUCCCCAUGACGGGGUGAGUUCCCGUUGCUCAGUCCCUGCUUCUGCCAACCUAGCAGUUCAAAAGCACGUCAAAAUGCAAGUAGAUAAAUAGGUACCGCUCUGGUGGGAAGGUAAAUGGCAUUUCCGUGCGCUGCUCUGGUUCACCAGAAGCGGCUUAGUCAUCCUGGCCACAUGACCCGGAAGCUGUAUGUCGGCUCCCUCGGCCAGUAAAGCGAGAUGAGCGCCGCAACCCCAGAGUCGGCCACGACUGGACCUAAUGGUCAGGGGUCCCUUUACCUUUACCUUUUAUGCUGGCUGCUCUGGUCUGGAUACAGUCUUGGGUGAUAGUCCAUGUUUGUCUUCAGAGUUGCACUGAAGUGACCUUUAUACCAUGCAUGAGCAAAACUAGGCUAACCAACUGUCACCAUCUCACUUCUUUCUUUAUGCCUAAUUGGUAGUGGAUCUACACAGUUGCAACAUGUUGUGGAUAUAUCUGUCUUAUUUUACUGAACCUACUGCAUUGCUCUUACAUGCAUUAUACUAGUUCAGCUAGAUAUAAUCAUAGAAUUGUAGAAACUGGAAGGAACCACAAGGGUCAUCUAGUCCAACCCCCUGCAAUGCAGGAAUCUUUUGCCCAACGUGGAGCUCGAACCCAUGGCCCUGAAAUUAAGAGUCUCCUUCUCUACCGAAUGAGAUAUUAGACAAGCAAAAUGAUUAAACCAAAGAUAAAUGUAGUAAGAAGAGCAAAAAAAAAGUCAGGAAAGCAAUUUGCCUGGAUCACUAAUACAUAUGUGGUGGCUCUGUCCUCUAAUUAUUCCCUUCUGGAAUGCAACCAAUUAAGACUUUAUCCUCCAUUUACUAACAGCAGCUGAAUUAAUGGUAGCAAAAAAAUGGGAAAACUCUAGAUGUCUCUGAAAUUAGCCUGUAGGAAGAUGACAACCUUACCUAAUGGACAGGAAAUCCUGAAAUAAAGACUUCACAAUCCUAUAUGGGUUUUAAAAAGUGCUUUGGAAACCCAGUCUUAUUAAUGUACAACAUGCAGCAAAAUCCUGUGUGCAUUUAUUCAGAAAUAAGUCUUGCUAUGUUCAAUGGGGCUUCCUCCUGAGUAUGUGUUUACCGUUGUGCCACUGUGCAGUCCAAUUCUAUAUAUGCUUACUCAAAAUUAAGCUCCAAUGAGAUCAGAGGGACUUACUUCCGAGUAAGUGAAUAUAGAUUUGCAGCCAUUAAUCUAGAGGAGGAAGCAGAACCGUGAGUCGAUGGUUUGAAAAUUUUAUUUUUGAAAGUAGUCAGUUUUGCCAAAGCUUAACAGAGAGUUAACAGGGAGAGGUAAAUUGGGUUCAAUUGAAAGGAAAAGCACAGUAAUAUAUAUUCAGGAACAAAAAGCAGCAGAGUCUGUGGAGCUUGAUUUUAGCUUAGGCAGGUUUUACCACAAAUAUAGCUAAACCUUAAUAGAUAGUUCAGGCAUGUUCCAAUUUCCAUAAUGCCAGUAAAAAUGAAUAAAAUCCAACCAAGCCAAAACAGUACAGCUGUCUUCUUCUCACCUCUCAGUCCCCUCUUGAUCGAUAAGGAGAUAACGUGAGCAAUCUAAUGGGCACAACGAAGGAGGAAAGUAAUACUGUGUGGUUUGCUGUUCUGCUUAGCCACCUUCUGUCCCAGACAACUUCCCUCUUCUCCCAUGUUCUACUUUUAAGGGAGGAGGAGGAGGAAAAAGCUAAAUGAGAGGAAAGUGAAUUGAUAAAAUAAUUCUAUGGCCAGCACUGCUUGCCUUCCUGUGACUCCAUCUGCUCCCCUGGCCAUGCCCCAGCCCCCCAAAAUGUAGGGAGCUGUGGUGAUCUAUCCAUCUAUAAGCAUAGCAUGAUACCCAUUUUACUGGGGUUGUUUUAACUGCAGGCACCUGGGUUCGAAUUCCUGCCCAGCUUGGUGAGCUGGAGCCACUCACUAUCUUAAGUCUACUCUACCCAUUGAAGGGACCAUGUGCCAGGCCAGGCCGGUUCCUGCAAUCACCAGGCUUGCAACUUUUGCAGAUACCACCCCAGCAGAUGACAUCAUUGCUCCUCCUGUGAAGAGAGCUUCAGAGCUUCUUGUGCUGCUUCUCCACUACACCAGGACUCAAUGUCACCUCCUCUUGUUUUAAAUGUGGGAGACGAUGGAAGCUAAAUCAGGAUGCCUGCAAAGAUUGCACGGGAGAGGAAAGCAAAUAAAUGCUUGGAGAGGAAGACGACUUGCUCAAGGGGUGAGGCAUUAGUGGAGGAAAAUCUAGUGGAGGGAACCUUGAUAUCCUAUGGAACUCACAGGCCACUAGAUAUAGAUAUAGAUAUAGAUAUAGAUAUAGAUAUAGAUAUAGGUUACAAUACUGUCUACUAGUGGAAUCAACUUUUGAAGAUAAUCCUGGACAAUAAAUAUGUUUAGUUGCUUAUUCUGGCUUGUAUCCAAUGUAGCACUAAAUAACUGGCCCAGCAGCAUAAGGGUUUUGAUUGAUUGAUUUUGAUUUAUUAUAUUUCUAUGCCUCUUUUCAUUCCAAUGAAUCUCAAAGCGACUUACAACCAAUAAAUAACCGUAACAUAAUAAAACAUAAUAGCACAUCGCAAAUACAGCAUACAUCAUAUAAAAUAAUUAACAAAAUAACAAUAAAGCAGUAGCAAUAAUAAUAAUAAAAGCUUGACAAAACAGCAACUAAAGAAUAAGCCAAACCUCGCAAUUAUGGCAAGUCAUAUGAUUAACAAAUCAAUGCGGCAUUUAGAAUCUAUAAAACGAUAUUAAAAACAUUAACAAAAUAGCAACUAAAAAUAUAAGCUAAGCACUAAGUUCAUUCACACACUCUCUGCACCCCCAUGAUUCAUACCCUCUUCC
rnacentral:lncRNA from 1 species